rnacentral:lncRNA from 1 species
UUGCCAGUGAGUGGCUUUCACAUGAACUGGGAGAGUAGAAGAGGCAAAGUUGGCAUUGUUUCCUGAGACACUCACAACCGGACAUAGGGACAGUGAUGAGAUUCACAGCAGUUUACCAGGGAGCUGUUUAGAACUGACUGCCGUAACUUCAGACUGAGCCUGCAUAGAAACCUGGCAAUGCCUUUUAACCUGAUGACCUCGAUGAGCAAACUACUAAAAUUUUCACAGUGAGAGAUGUAAGAGGACUCCAGAAACACAAAACAAAACAAAACAAUACAACAAUAAAAAACAAGGAAAGACAGAGAAGCUGAAUAGCCUUGAUCAAGACAAGGACAGAGUGUCAUUGGCAUGUACAAAAGCACCAGCUAAACAAGUCAUCCAAGACUCCUUGCUUCAGUUGGAAAGAAUGUCCUCUGUAGCAAUGUGCAGUUUCCGAUUUUUCCUGCUCAAGAGAAUGGAUCUCGAGGAGACAGUGGCAAGAAAUAAGCUGCAGGCAUUCAUUUACUAAAUGUUUGCUCAUUGUCUAUUAUUCAUUGGACAUAUGUUUAAUAAAUAUUUCCUGAG